UACAGAGGGUGCGAGCGUUAAUCGGAAUUACUGGGCGUAAAGCGUGCGUAGGCGGUUCGUUAAGUCUGCUGUGAAAGCCCCGGGCUCAACCUGGGAAUGGCAGUGGAUACUGGCGAGCUAGAGUGUGAUAGAGGAUGGUGGAAUUCCCGGUGUAGCGGUGAAAUGCGUAGAGAUCGGGAGGAACAUCAGUGGCGAAGGCGGCCAUCUGGAUCAACACUGACGCUGAGGCACGGAAAGCGUGGGGAGCAAACAGGG
rnacentral:rRNA from 1 species